GGGGAAGCCAUAGUUAGGGUUUUCAAGCUUCCAAGCUCCAUAAUCAAGAAGUACGAAACUCGAGGUUAGACAAAGGGAAGAAUAAAGUUGAAGACUAAGUUGGUGAAUUUGGCUAUAAUUGGUACCGAGUAUUGCAAAGCUACUUCAAGGAUCCUAAAGAAGUCGGAGAUCGUCCACACUAUCAACCACAACUGCUCGGUAUUUUAUAUCGAAUCACGUUUGAGUUAUGGCAUGUAUAGGGAUUUAGUUAUUUUGUAUGUUUGUGAUUAUGAUUUUGCUAAAGAAUGGUGCGUAAGUAUUUGAUGAUGUAUGGUUAUUAAAAUGGUUAAGUA